rnacentral:misc_RNA from 1 species
ACUUUUUGCAUUUUCUGCUCGUUGAACAGACGCUGACAAUUACCUAAUUUCCCACGCAAAACGCAUUUGUUGUCCGAUCCAACCUCGACAAUGUCCAAAAAAUACAUCUUGACAUAAUUUCUUUUCUUCGUUGAGGGGUCAGUAAUCCCAGCGAGCCAACACAAAUUUCGACCAUGUUCAGGACGUAUGCAAAACAUUGCCAUUUUAAAUUUUGUACCGUUGUCGUAAAAAAAUUUUAAUUCGAAAUUAAUGUAAAAUGUUGCUGUCUGCUAUGGCAGACGAAGUUUCCCAUUGGAUUAUUGGAUGAGCUGUUUAUUUUCUGUUCUGCCAUGCGAAAGAUUCUGUGUUUACAUGGAUAUCGCCAAAGUGCACAAGUUUUCAAAGAUAAAACCGGCUCACUCAGAAAACUUCUGAAGAAGCAUGCAGAAUUAGUGUACAUUAGUGCACCUCAUCUUAUUCCAGCCAGUUCAGCCAUCCAAGAUGAAAGCAUGGAAACUUUACAGGCAGUUCCUGCAAAUGGAAAAGUUGAAGAGCAGAGAGGUUGGUAUUUCAGCACAGAACAGUUGACAUUCAAUUCACAUGAUGAAACAGACUUCAGCUGGGGACUGCAAGAGUCCAUUAAUGUUGUCAGUAAAGCAUUUGAAGAGCUCGGACCAUUUGAUGGAAUUUUGGGCUUCUCUCAAGGAGCUGCUCUUGGCUCAAUUCUAUGUUACAUGCUUGAAAAAGGAGAAUUAAAUUUUUCAUUUAGGUUUGCCAUUCUUGUGUCUGGUUUCCGUUCCAGAUUAAGCCCUCAUACAUACUUUUAUAAAACCAAACAAACCAUUGCCACUCUACAUGUAAUAGGAGAAACAGACAGAAUUGUGGAAAAAGAAAUGAGUGAGGAGUUGACUACCUAUUUUGAAUCACCUCACAUUAUGUGUCAUUCUGGAGGCCACUAUGUACCAGCAACAUCAAAGGAGAAGGAAGAUACUGUCACAUUCGUUAGACGUUUGCCUAAUCAAGAAGGAUGAUGAUUGUUAAGUGACCCUGAUAACACUACUGGACAUGUCUGAGGAUUUGAAGACUGACUAUUGGAAGUGGAGGACAAGAUGAAAAAUUUCGAAAACCCGCAUUGCGGCAUGGCUUUAUACAGCAUUUUACGGAACUCCUUGCUGCACAGGAAGUACAUGCAGAAAUUUAGUGCGAAGUUGCUCAUUUCCAACAAGUUUGCCACAGCGCGAAACACUUGAAAGCUGUGAAAUGAUUCCAGUUCUUGAUCGUAAAUAAUUGACAAAACUGCUGAUGGAAUAUUGGUUGCGAUUCGGGCGUCCACUACCUUGCAAGUCUGCAUUUGGUUGCCCUUGCCGCAUUUGCCUACGCGUUUUGACCACCCCAUGGUAUUUGAUCAAAAUUAACAUGUUGAGUGUAGCCAAAAUUAGACCGGGGAGAAAGCGGACUAGACUCUCUCCCAGCCAUACAUAUGCCGUCCAGAGGGGAUGAGCUGUCACAA